GAUGAACGCUGGCGGCGUGCCUAAUACAUGCCAGUCGAGCGAACAGACGAGGAGCUUGCUCCUCUGACGUUAGCGGCGGACGGGUGAGUAACACGUGGAUAACCUACCUAUAAGACUGGGAUAACUUCGGGAAACCGGAGCUAAUACCGGAUAAUAUAUUGAACCGCAUGGUUCAAUAGUGAAAGACGGUUUUGCUGUCACUUAUAGAUGGAUCCGCGCCGCAUUAGCUAGUUGGUAAGGUAACGGCUUACCAAGGCAAGGAUGCGUAGACGACCUGAGAGGGUGAUCGGCGACACUGGAACUGAGCCGCGGACCAGACUCCUACGGGAGGCAGCAGUAGGGAAUCUGCCGCAAUGGGCGAAAGCCUGACGGAGCAACGCGGAGUGAGUGAUGAAGGUCUUCGGAUCGUAAAACUCUGUUAUUAGGGAAGAACAAAUGUGUAAGUAACUAUGCACGGCUUGACGGUACCUAAUCAGAAAGCCACGGCUAACUACGUG
rnacentral:rRNA from 1 species